rnacentral:rRNA from 1 species
GGCUGUUCGCCGGUUAAAGUGGUACAUGAGCUGGGUUCAGAACGUCGUGAGACAGUUCGGUCUGUAUCCGUCGUGGGCGUUGGAGGUUUGAGGGGUGUGGACCCUAGUACGAGAGGACCGGGUCGAAUUGCCCGCUCGUGUGCCGGCUGUGGUGCCAACUGCAUCGCCGGGUAGCGAGGGCAAGCGAAGAUAACCGCUGAAUGCAUCUAAGUGGGAAGCUUCCCCCAAGAUGAAACCUCCCUGGAGCCUCGAGCUCCCUGAAGGGCCGGGAGAGACCAUCCCGUCAAGAGGUCGCACGUGGACGUGGAGCAAUCCAUUCCAAGCGCAGCGAUCCUCAUCGCCCGUGAGGCUUGAUCUU